UACGAAGGGUGCAAGCGUUACUCGGAAUUACUGGGCGUAAAGCGUGCGUAGGUGGUGAGUUAAGUCUGUCGUGAAAGCCCCGGGCUCAACCUGGGAAUGGCGAUGGAUACUGGCUCGCUAGAGUGCGGUAGAGGAGAGUGGAAUUCCCGGUGUAGCAGUGAAAUGCGUAGAUAUCAGGAGGAACACCAAAGGCGAAGGCAGCUUCCUGGCCCAAUUCUGACGCUGAGGUGCGAAAGCGUGGGUAGCGAACGGG
rnacentral:rRNA from 1 species